CGCGGCCUAUCAGCUUGUUGGUGGGGUGAUGGCCUACCAAGGCGACGACGGGUAGCCGGCCUGAGAGGGCGACCGGCCACACUGGGACUGAGACACGGCCCAGACUCCUACGGGAGGCAGCAGUGGGGAAUAUUGCACAAUGGGCGGAAGCCUGAUGCAGCGACGCCGCGUGAGGGAUGACGGCCUUCGGGUUGUAAACCUCUUUCAGCAGGGACGAAGCGAGAGUGACGGUACCUGCAGAAGAAGCGCCGGCCAACUACGUGCCAGCAGCCGCGGUAAGACGUAGGGCGCGAGCGUUGUCCGGAUUUAUUGGGCGUAAAGAGCUCGUAGGCGGCUUGUCGCGUCGUCCGUGAAAACCCACGGCUUAACUGUGGGCUUGCGGUCGAUACGGGCAGGCUGGAGUUCGGUAGGGGAGACUGGAAUUCCUGGUGUAGCGGUGAAAUGCGCAGAUAUCAGGAGGAACACCGGUGGCGAAGGCGGGUCUCUGGGCCGAUACUGACGCUGAGGAGCGAAAGCGUGGGGAGCGAACAGGAUUAGAUACCCUGGUAGUCCACGCUGUAAACGUUGGGCGCUAGGUGUGGGGGGCCUCUCCGGUUCUCUGUGCCGCAGCUAACGCAUUAAGCGCCCCGCCUGGGAGUACG
rnacentral:rRNA from 1 species